CGCACUUGGGCCAACCCGCGGACACUCCUGGCUCCACUCAUUCAUUGCACGAGGGUGCAGCCGUCCUACUGGCCUUGAAAUUUGAAAACUCCGCUCCCCACCCCCACGUUUCCGAGGAAGAUAAGACUCAAAGAAGUGAAGUCACUUGACCAAGGUCACACAGUAACAGUCAAGUUUCAAACCCUGGCAGCCAGGAGCUAGAAGUCAUUCAAGUCACCCUAUGUAUGAAGGAAGGAGGUGUCAAGUGGUUGAGCAAAGGUUAAAAAAAAUCUUAAAUAUUGGCUGACCUAAGACUCGUGAGGUGCCUGGCGAUUGAUUUAUAUUGAUGUGGGAGACGGAUGAAAUUCAGAUUUUAAGGAGGGACGCCGAAAUGAAAUCACCCCUCACGACCCCCCAAAUUCCAGAGUACAUCUAUCAAUACUAACAUCUAAUUCCAAACUUUGAAAGAAUUCAGAUCCCUUUCUUAAUUUGAAUACUGGAUAAUGUAGAUUUGGCUGAGUUUUAACUGCUUUUUGUCUUUGUACAUUUCUAAGUAUUGUUGGACUAUAAAUGCUGUGAGAGAUGGAGUCGAGAGCAUAAACAGUUGGGCAGUUCUGGUGUUAGAAUUUGCAGAUCUUUUGUUUAAGUCAUUAGAAUGAAACUCCUAAAAAUAUCUCUUCUUAAUCUCUGUAAGGUUUUUUCAUUUUAUAGUUUCUUAAAAGAAAAACCCAUUAAAUAGACCCCUGAAAUGUUGCUGCCAUUUGUGGGUGAAAACCUUAUUUGUUCAGUACCUGGCAUUUAUUUAAGAACCACACUUUUUUUUUUUUGCACCUUCAUGAAUGUAUUUAUUUUCUCUUUUUAUUAUUGUUAUUUUAUAUAGCAGGUUCUUAUUAGUCAUCAAUUUUAUACACAUCAGUGUAUACAUGUCAAUCCCAAUUGCCCAAUUCAGCAUACCACCAUCCCCACCCACUGGGGUUUUCCCCCCUUGGUGUCCAUACGCUUGUUCUCUACAUCUGUGUCUCAACUUCUGCCCUGCAAACCAAAGAACCACACUUUUAAUACUAGUUACUACAGUUCUUCGAUUUAUGUGAGGCAGCAGUGGGUCAGAAAUGGAUUAAACAGUUUGCAAUAGGAAAAGAACUUAAAAUUUUGUUUUUCAUUCAAAAAUUGUAAAUUCUGCAUAUCUGUGCAGGGACACGUGCGACUAGUUAAGAGCUGACUUUAUUUCGUUGAGAAGGCAGGAAAAAAUGGAAUCUAUGGAUUAGAAACAUUAGAAUUUUAAGAUUAGGUAAGUCUUGUUAAGUCCAGGGUUGCCCAUAACUCUGUAUUCAUAUAAUAUUUUGUUAAUUUUAAUCUUGUUUUUUAAAUUGUGCCAAGAAAUUUGCCUUGAUAAACUUGGAUUAUUUAUAAUGAGAUCAGUCUUUGUUUAUUAAUAAUUUCUAUACAUGUUUUGUACUUGAAAACCAGAUUUUUUUUAACAUUUCAUUUUUUUCAUUGAAAUUAAUAAAGCAUUGUGUUUUAAUUCCUCGGGAAUAAGCUAGCUGCUCAACAGACGUAAAUUUCCUUCUUUUCUAGUCAGUGUUAAAUGGGCAGGGAAAGGGUUGAAAAUGAUCCAUUGAGAAUAUAUAUAAUCCAAGGUAGAAAAGGUUGAUAAUUUCUGUGAUUCCUUUUUUUAAUGCCCCACAAACUUUUUCCUGUAAAAAUUCUAAUGAAGAUUUGAGUAUAUCUGAAAAUGGAGGGAAAUGUGAGUUUUGUGGCCUUGUUAGAAUUGUUUACAUGUUAGAGAUUGUCUCCUUUUUUAAGGUGGAGGACUGUACAAGCUAAGUGAGAAGUAGUUCGGUAAUAGUACUAAAAAGACCAUUCAAAAGUGAAGUCUUAUUUAGGAGAAUACCGUGUUGGUUUUAGAUUUUAGUCACUACAGCUUUGCAGUUCUUUUCUACUCUAAACUUUUUAGUGGAUUUUCCUUAAGGAGGCAUCACUUCUGCAACCCACCUGAGAA